rnacentral:rRNA from 1 species
GACGAACGCUGGCGGCGUGCUUAACACAUGCAAGUCGAACGAAGUGGCGAACGGGUGAGUAACGCGUAAUCAACCUGCCCUUCAGAGGGGGACAACAGUUGGAAACGACUGCUAAUACCGCAUACUGAAGGAGGAGAUUGCGGCUGAUGAGCUAGUUGGAGGGGUAACGGCCCACCAGGUCGAUGAUCAGUAGCCGGGCUGAGAGGAUGAACGGCCACAGUGGGACUGAGACACGGCCCAGAGUCCUACGGGGGCAGCAGUGGGGAAUCUUCCGCAAUGGACGGAAGUCUGACGGAGCAAAGCCGCGUGAGUGAUGAAGGCCUUCGGGUUGGAAAGCUCUGUUAAUCGGGACGCGGUACCGGUAUAGAAAGCCACGGCUAACUACGUGCCAGCAGCCGCGGUAAUAC